rnacentral:rRNA from 1 species
GACGAACGCUGGCGGCGUGCUUAACACAUGCAAGUCGAACGGAAAGGCCCUGCUUUUGUGGGGUGCUCGAGUGGCGAACGGGUGAGUAACACGUGAGUAACCUGCCCUUGACUCUGGGAUAACUUCAGGAAACUGGGGCUAAUACCGGAUAGGAGCUCCUGUUGCAUGGUGGGGGUUGGAAAGUUUCGGCGGUUGGGGAUGGACUCGCGGCUUAUCAGCUUGUUGGUGGGGUAGUGGCUUACCAAGGCUUUGACGGGUAGCCGGCCUGAGAGGGUGACCGGCCACAUUGGGACUGAGAUACGGCCCAGACUCCUACGGGAGGCAGCAGUGGGGAAUAUUGCACAAUGGGCGGAAGCCUGAUGCAGCAACGCCGCGUGCGGGAUGACGGCCUUCGGGUUGUAAACCGCUUUCGCCUGUGACGAAGCGUGAGUGACGGUAAUGGGUAAAGAAGCACCGGCUAACUACGUG